GAUCACCAUGGUGACUUACAAGCAAUUCACUAUACUUUGAUGCUGGACUACCUAAAUUUUUAAUUCAGUGAUGAAAGAUUUCUAGACACAGUCAAGUACUUGCAAAGUCGGUGUGUGAGUCAAGAUAGAAUUGACCCCUUCGAAUAAGUAGGAGUUAAUGUAUCAACGUAUUUCAAUUCAGUAAAAUCUUGACUGGAGUAAUUUAUGUGAU
rnacentral:lncRNA from 1 species